rnacentral:rRNA from 1 species
UUUAUGGAGAGUUUGAUCCUGGCUCAGGAUGAACGCUGGCGGCGUGCCUAAUACAUGCAAGUCGAGCGAACGGACGAGAAGCUUGCUUCUCUGAUGUUAGCGGCGGACGGGUGAGUAACACGUGGAUAACCUACCUAUAAGACUGGGAUAACUUCGGGAAACCGGAGCUAAUACCGGAUAAUAUUUUGAACCGCAUGGUUCAAAAGUGAAAGACGGUCUUGCUGUCACUUAUAGAUGGAUCCGCGCUGCAUUAGCUAGUUGGUAAGGUAACGGCUUACCAAGGCAACGAUGCAUAGCCGACCUGAGAGGGUGAUCGGCCACACUGGAACUGAGACACGGUCCAGACUCCUACGGGAGGCAGCAGUAGGGAAUCUUCCGCAAUGGGCGAAAGCCUGACGGAGCAACGCCGCGUGAGUGAUGAAGGUCUUCGGAUCGUAAAACUCUGUUAUUAGGGAAGAACAUAUGUGUAAGUAACUGUGCACAUCUUGACGGUACCUAAUCAGAAAGCCACGGCUAACUACGUGCCAGCAGCCGCGGUAAUACGUAGGUGGCAAGCGUUAUCCGGAAUUAUUGGGCGUAAAGCGCGCGUAGGCGGUUUUUUAAGUCUGAUGUGAAAGCCCACGGCUCAACCGUGGAGGGUCAUUGGAAACUGGAAAACUUGAGUGCAGAAGAGGAAAGUGGAAUUCCAUGUGUAGCGGUGAAAUGCGCAGAGAUAUGGAGGAACACCAGUGGCGAAGGCGACUUUCUGGUCUGUAA